rnacentral:rRNA from 1 species
AUGCUUCUACUUUCUGUAUGGAGAUGGGAGCGUCUGCUUGUUGGACGCCCGAAGAGCGUCAAGUUUAAUCCUUGGGAUGAAGAAGAGGCAUUACGGCUCCCCACUUGGGCUUACAAGUGGGAUGUGGUAUCCGAGAUGUCAAUCUCAUGUACCAAAAGUACAUUGCCGAGUUGGACACGAUUACACCUGAGCAGGUAA